AACGAACGCUGGCGGCAUGCCUAACACAUGCAAGUCGAACGAGACCUUCGGGUCUAGUGGCGCACGGGUGCGUAACGCGUGGGAACCUGCCCUUAGGUUCGGAAUAACUCCCCGAAAGGGGUGCUAAUACCGGAUAAUGUCUUCGGACCAAAGAUUUAUCGCCUUUGGAUGGGCCCGCGUUGGAUUAGCUAGUUGGUAGGGUAAAAGCCUACCAAGGCGACGAUCCAUAGCUGGUCUGAGAGGAUGAUCAGCCACACUGGGACUGAGACACGGCCCAGACUCCUACGGGAGGCAGGAGUGGGGAAUAGUGGACAAUGGGCGAAAGCCUGAUCCAGCAAUGCCGGGUGAGUGAUGAAGGCCUUAGGGUUGUAAAGCUCUUUUACCCGGGAUGAUAAUGACAGUACCGGGAGAAUAAGCGCCGGCUAACUCCGUG
rnacentral:rRNA from 1 species